rnacentral:rRNA from 1 species
UACAGAGGUCUCAAGCGUUGUUCGGAAUCACUGGGCGUAAAGGGUGCGUAGGUGGCGUGGAAAGUCAGAUGUGAAAUCCGGGGGCUCAACCUCCGAAUAGCGUCCGAUACUCCCAUGCUAGAGAACUGGAGGGGGAUCUGGAAUUCUCGGUGUAGCAGUGAAAUGCGUAGAUAUCGAGAGGAACACUAGUGGCGAAGGCGAGAUCCUGGACAGUAUCUGACACUGAUGCACGAAAGGUCAGGGGGAGCAAAACGGGG